GGCAUGAUGGCAGGGAUCUGUAAUCCCAGCUACUCAGGAGACUGAAGCAGGAGAAUUGCUUGAACCUGGGAGACAGAGGUUGCAGUGAGCCAAAAUCACGCCACUGCACUCCAAGAGUGAAACCAUGCAUCAAAAAAAAAAAAGAGGUCAAAAGUACUAAUAAAAAAUACUAAUAUCUUAGUUAACAGAUUGCUGUGACCUAGAGCAAGUAAAAGUGUAAUUAUCAGACUAGAGGGAGUAGAAUAGCAAGAAGAUGACAGAGGGCAAGCCCAAAGCCUAAAAGAGAAUAGAAUGCAAAGGCCUACAGGCAGAAAUGCUUUGUCAUUCACUCUUUCAGCAAACUUAUUCUAUUAUGUAUCCCUCACUAUUCAAUGCCCAGUAGGGUACAGGGAAAAUAAGACCAGGUCCUGCCCUCAUUAGGUAGCAUUCGAUGCACAGGUGCUGUACAAGAGGUGUUUUGUUUUGGGUGGGGAGCCAGACACAGGCCUAAGCACUUUGUGUACCUUGUCCCAUUUAAUCCCCACAUAAGCACCAGGAGGUGAGCGACAGAAUUACCACUUUACAGUUAAGUAAAUUGAGGUUUCUUUAAGCUCUCUGCCUAGGGUCAGAGGUCUUUCCACAGGACCACAGACUAGAGUCAGACGUGUUCCUCAAUCAGCUAGGAACGAGUGGCACUGAAUUUGCGUCUGAGUGUUCCAAACUUCUAUAUCCUCAUAUUCUGGAAUGAGGAUAUUAUGAGUCCCGAAACAGCUCUAGAAAUUCUAGGCUACAUAACUAUCCCUACAUAUAGUGUUCUCUGCCAGGAGAAGGAAAAAAAGUACUGUGAUGGCCAGGCCCCAAGAUGACUGGCGAAGUGAAAGUUGCCCAAUUCCAAAAUGGCCACCACCGCGCUUUCCUUGCGUCGCAGCGACUACGUAUGACAGAAGGACCAUCACCAGAGAUGCUAUGAUUUCUCCAAAGGGGCUGUGACUGGCUGGCUCCUGACCCUCUCUGUUCCCACAUGCCUCCAUCUUCAUUCUGAUCUCCCAUCCAGCUUUGACGGCUUGCUUGGUGCUAGACAAUUACACACACCCUAAUGCCCCCAAACCCUGCCUACAAACAUCUUGUGCAUAAUUCUUCUACCUGAAUAUGUGUCAGGGAGAAAGAGCAUCCCAGGACAUUUUAGGUUUUUG
rnacentral:lncRNA from 13 species